rnacentral:rRNA from 1 species
GAUGAACGCUGGCGGCGUGCCUAAUACAUGCAAGUCGAGCGAACGGACGAGAAGCCUGCUUCUCUGAUGUUAGCGGCGGACGGGUGAGUAACACGUGGAUAACCUACCUAUAAGACUGGGAUAACUUCGGGAAACCGUAGCUAAUACCGGAUAAUAUUUUGAACCGCAUGGUUCAAAAGUGAAAGACGGUCUUGCUGUCACUUAUAGAUGGAUCCGCGCUGCAUUAGCUAGUUGGUAAGGUAACGGCUUACCAAGGCAACGAUGCAUAGCCGACCUGAGAGGGUGAUCGGCCACACUGGAACUGAGACACGGUCCAGACUCCUACGGGAGGCAGCAGUAGGGAAUCUUCCGCAAAGGGCGAAAGCCUGACGGAGCAACGCCGCGUGAGUGAUGAAGGUCUUCGGAUCGUAAAACUCUGUUAUUAGGGAAGAACAUAUGUGUAAGUAACUGUGCACAUCUUGACGGUACCUAAUCAGAAAGCCACGGCUAACUACGUG